CAACACUGCACAGUGGAUCACUUGGCUCGGGGGUCGAUGAAGAACGCAGCAAACUGCGCGUCGGAAUGUGAACUGCAGGACAUAUGAGCAUCGACACUUUGAACGCAUAUUGCGGACACUGGCUCGUCCACUGUCCAUGUCUGGCUCAGGGUCGGUUUUGCAUCCAUCCA
rnacentral:rRNA from 2 species